rnacentral:tRNA from 2 species
GCGGGUGUAGCUCAAUGGUAGAGCCUCUGCCUUCCAAGCAGAUAGUGCGAGUUCGAUUCUCGUCACCCGCUCCA